GACGAACGCUGGCGGCGUGCCUAAUACAUGCAAGUAGAACGCUGAAGGAGGAGCUUGCUUCUCUGGAUGAGUUGCGAACGGGUGAGUAACGCGUAGGUAACCUGCCUGGUAGCGGGGGAUAACUAUUGGAAACGAUAGCUAAUACCGCAUAAUAGCAGUUGUUGCAUGACAACUGUUUGAAAGGUGCAAUUGCACCACUACCAGAUGGACCUGCGUUGUAUUAGCUAGUUGGUGGGGUAACGGCUCACCAAGGCGACGAUACAUAGCCGACCUGAGAGGGUGGUCGGCCACACUGGGACUGAGACACGGCCCAGACUCCUACGGGAGGCAGCAGUAGGGAAUCUUCGGCAAUGGACGGAAGUCUGACCGAGCAACGCCGCGUGAGUGAAGAAGGUUUUCGGAUCGUAAAGCUCUGUUGUAAGAGAAGAACGAGUGUGAGAGUGGAAAGUUCACACUGUGACGGUACCUUACCAGAAAGGGACGGCGAACUACGU
rnacentral:rRNA from 1 species